GAUGAACGCUGGCGGCGUGCCUAACACAUGCAAGUCGAACGAGAAAGCUGGUUUCGACCGGCGAGUAAAGUGGCGUACGGGUGAGUAACGCGUGGGUGACCUACCCUGGGAUCUGGGAUAACACUGCGAAAGUGGUGCUAAUACCGGAUACGAUCCCACGAUGGUGGUUGUGGGAUGAAAGUCAGCCACUCGAAGAAGCUGACGUACGAGGAUGGGCCUGCGUCCUAUCAGCUAGUUGGUGGGGUAUCGGCCUACCAAGGCGACGACGGGUAGCUGGUCUGAGAGGAUGAUCAGCCACACUGGCACUGGAACACGGGCCAGACUCCUACGGGAGGCAG
rnacentral:rRNA from 1 species